CUCCAUUACAUUUUUAAUGAAUGCAAAUUUGGCAGAUGUUAGAAUCAUGGAACAGCCAUUCACAAAUUGCUAUCAAUUAGAACAUCUGCAGUUAAAUCAACAACUGCAUUGAUAUAGUUACUGCUUUAUUCUGUAUCGAAAUGGAAAGAUUCUAACUUAUUAAUUGCUAGCACAACGUAGAACAAAUUCAGAGCAUUAAACUGAAGUGCUUUGAAUUAAAUUGAAAUUAAUGUGCUGCAAGUAAUUUAGUAUUUGUUACCACUUAUUGCAGUACAAUGCAACAACUAGAAGAUCAAUUCCUUCUGAACAACAGAACAAGCUAUUUAGAUUUUUAUUUUUGGCAUUACACAUACAACUUCAUUUCACUUUUUCCCUAGUGAAUGAAAAGUAUUAUUUAGACCAGAGGUGUCCAACUUUGGUAAUUUUGAAGACCUGUGGAUUUAACAAGGUUGGCUAGGAAAUUCUGGGAGUUGAAAUCCACAAGUCUUAAAAGUUUCCAUGGAUAGACACCCCCAAUUUAGAUGAAAAUGGCAAAAUGCAUUCCUACAUCACUACUGAAGAAUUAAAAAGUAUGAUUCAGAUGUGAUAGAAAACAAAGUAUUUCAUGAGAUAGCAAAAAGGAAAAGGGAUUGCCCCCUUGCCCCUCCUUGCCAGAGGGAGCGGCUGACACAACCACAAUAUGCUUAAAUCGGUGUUAGUAAGAAAUCAGAAUGAGAAUACAUGAAACAUAUACAUGGGGAGAAUUAUGUACACAUCUGAACACUGUGGAGGACUGUGGUUUAUUUGAAAUCAAAAGAGAAAGCUUCUAACCUCAUGAAAGGACUUACAAGCAAAUUCAUGGUUCACCACAACUCAAUUUACAUAGUGAAAAACAAGUAUUGUAUGGGCUACAGCUUUGCUUUGUUCUGUCUGUUUAAUAUUAAGUGCUCUCCUAUUAGUAUUAAUCUAAUUGAUUACUUUGGAGCAACAGAACAUAUAAACAAAGCAGUUUUGCUGAAAAAAUUAUGCUGAAAUUGCACCAAGGCAGGAAACUUUACUUUCACAAAGUAAAAAUUAAAAUAAAAUCCAACAAAAUAAUUCC